rnacentral:lncRNA from 1 species
GGAUGAGUGAAGUGGCACUGUCCAGCCCUGAUACAAUAAGUUCUCCUCCCAGGUUCUGAACUUCUGCCUUGACUUUGCUGCAGAUGUUGAGCUGGUGGCAGUAGAGGGCAAUGCGCUGUAGGUAGGCUAGCAGGUCCUGUUUGCAGGCUGAGUCAGGGCACUGAUCAGCUACUGCCCGUGCAAGUUUGUCCAUCCUUGAUCCUGCCUCUGCAAUCUUCUUGGCUGCAUUAAUGACAUCAGAUGUAUUCUUCAGUGGGCCUUUACCUCUAGUGAAGUCUGUCAUUUCCAUCAUAAUCAUGCACAUCUGUUUUGCCAACACAAUGAUGUCAUUACCGCUGUCAUCCCACUUGGCUACCUCUGCAUCCAGUUUGCUCUUUUC